AUUGAACGCUGGCGGCAGGCCUAACACAUGCAAGUCGAGCGGAGCGGGGGACGGGUGAGUAAGGCUUAGGAAUGUGCAUGGGAGCGGGGGAUAACGUCCGGAAACGGGCGCUAAUACCGCAUACUAUCACAUUAGCCUAUGCCGGAAUAGCUAGUGGGUGGGGGAAAGGCAUACCAAGGCGACGAUCCGUAACUGGUCUGAGAGUAUGAUCAGUCACACUGGAACUGAGACACGGUCCAGACUCCUACGGGAGGCAGCAGUGGGGAAUAUUGGACAAUGGGCGCAAGCCUGAUACAGCCAUGCCGCGUGUGUGAAGAAGGCCUUCGGAUUGUAAAGCACUUUCAGUUGGGAGGCGUUACUAGCAGAAUAAGCACCGGCUAACUUCGUGCCAGCAGCCGCGGUAAUAC
rnacentral:rRNA from 1 species